UUAGGAAUAUUCGUCAAUGGGGGAAACCCUGAACGAGCAAUGCCGCGUGAGUGAUGACGGUCCUUUGGAUUGUAAAACUCUGUUGUUAGGGAAGAACGACUUAAGUAGGAAAUGGCUUAAGAGUGACUGUACCUUUCAAGAAAGCUCCGGCUAACUACGUGCCAGCAGCCGCGGUAAUACGUAGGGAGCAAGCGUUAUCCGGAUUUAUUGGGUGUAAAGCGUGUGUAGGCGGUUUAUUAAGUCUAAGGUUUAAGCCUGGAGCUCAACUCCAGUUCGCCUUGGAAACUGAUUUACUUGAGUGCGGUAGAGGCAAGUGGAAUUUCUAGUGUAGCGGUUAAAUGCGUAGAUAUUAGAAGGAACACCAGUGGCGAAGGCGACUUGCUGGGCCGUUACUGACGCUGAGACACGAAAGCGUGGGGAGCAAAUAGG
rnacentral:rRNA from 1 species